rnacentral:rRNA from 1 species
GGACCCGCACAAGCGGUGGAGUAUGUGGUUUAAUUCGAUGCAACACGAAGAACCUUACCAGGGUUUGAAAUCAUUUCAAAACUCCUUGAAAGAGGAGCUCCUUCGGGAUGAAAUGACAGGUGGUGCAUGGCUGUCGUCAGCUCGUGUUGUGAAAUGUCGAGUUAAGUCUCGUAACGAGCGCAACCCAUGUCUCUUGUUGCUCACUGAGUGCUUAAGAGAGACUGCCGACCAACAUCGGAGGAAGGUGUGGAUGAUGUCAAGUCAGCAUUGCCCCUUACAUCCUGGGGCUACACACGUACUACAAUGGUAAGGACAAUGAGCUGCGAUCCUGCGAAGGCUAGCC